rnacentral:rRNA from 1 species
UCAGUAACGCGUGAGAAUCUGUCUUCAGGUCGGGGACAACCACUGGAAACGGUGGCUAAUACCGGAUGUGCCGCAAGGUAAAAGAUUAAUUGCCUGAAGGUGAGCUCGCGUCUGAUUAGCUAGUAGGUGUGGUAAGAGCGCACCUAGGCGACGAUCAGUAGCUGGUCUGAGAGGAUGAUCAGCCACACUGGGACUGAGACACGGCCCAGACUCCUACGGGAGGCAGCAGUGGGGAAUUUUCCGCAAUGGGCGAAAGCCUGACGGAGCAAUACCGCGUGAGGGAGGAAGGCUCUUGGGUUGUAAACCUCUUUUCUCAAGGAAGAAAAAAAUGACGGUACUUGAGGAAUCAGCAUCGGCUAACUCCGUGCCAGCAGCCGCGGUAAUACGGAGGAUGCAAGCGUUAUCCGGAAUGAUUGGGCGUAAAGCGUCCGCAGGUGGCAAUGUAAGUCUGCUGUUAAAGAGUGAGGCUCAACCUCAUAAAAGCAGUGGAAACUACAUAGCUAGAGUGCGUUCGGGGCAGAAGGAAUUCCUGGUGUAGCGGUGAAAUGCGUAGAGAUCAGGAAGAACACCGGUGGCGAAAGCGUUCUGCUAGGCCGCAACUGACACUGAGG